GAUGAAGAACGCAGCGAAAUGCGAUAAGUAAUGUGAAUUGCAGAAUUCAGUGAAUCAUCGAAUCUUUGAACGCACAUUGCGCCCCUCGGUAUUCCGGGGGGCAUGCCUGUUCGAGCGUCAUUACACCACUCAAGCCUCGCUUGGUCUUGGGCGUCCGCGGUCCGCCGCGCGCCCCAAUGUCGCCGGCCGAGCCGUCCGUCUCCAAGCGUUGUGGCAACUCAAUCCGCUUGGGAGCACGGGCGGCCCUCGGGCCGUGAAAACACCCCCUCACAGGUUGACCUGGAUCAGGUAGGGAUACCCGCUGAACUUAAGCAUAUCAAUAAGCGGAGGA
rnacentral:misc_RNA from 1 species